GGGUUCUUCGAGUAGAUUCAUUACACUCAAUAGCAGAAGAGAUGUAGAUUCAUUACACUCAAUUCAGGAUGUUGUUUGAAUUACUUAUCCUAACAGGUGCACAAGUUGGGAUGGAUUGGACUUCUAUCUUGAGAAAAUGCCAUGAUUUCAGGGCUGCUUUCGCCGAGUUUGAUGCAGAAAUCGUCGCCAACUUCACAGAAAGACAAAUAGCAUCAGUGGUCACAGAUUGCAACCUAGAUUUAAAUAAGGUUCGAGGCACCGUCAACAAUACUAACAGAAUCCUCCAGGUCAGGUUGUUGAUUGGACUUGAUUUUAUUUAAAUGAUCUUGAUAAUCCAUUUUAUUUAAAUGAGCAGACCCGGAUGUGCGUCGAAGGUAUCCGGAUGUUGAGCGGGGGUCCCUAGAAAGUGGGAACCAUUGUUAUGACCAUGAUGAAGCUGUCCAUUUUCUAUGGACAGCUUUGGAGGGGCCUGGCCAUUAGGACAGGCUGUAUUUAUGUAUUUGCUCAAAAUUAAUGGAGCAGACCUGGAUGUGCGUCGGAGCUAUCCAGAUGGGCGAGGGUCCAUGGAAGGUGGGAACCGCUGUUAUGACCAUGAUGAAGCUGUCAAUUUCCUAUGGACAGCAUUGGAGGGGCCUGACCAUUUAGACAGGCUGUGUUUAUGUAUUUGCUCGAAAUUAAUGGAGCAAACCCGAAUGUGUGUCGGAGCUAUCCGGAUGAGUGGGGGUCCCUGUAAGGUGGGAACCACUGUUAUGACCAUGAUGAAGCUGUCCAUUUCCUAUGGACAACAUUGGAGGGGCCUAGACAUUUGGACAAGCCGUGAUUAUAUCUGUAUUUACAUGGAC